AUUCAACAAGUCACACAAAAAACAAAUAUAUCCAUUUUAUUUUAAUACCGGUAGUUGUUUUUUUAGUACAAAAUAAAGCUGCCUUAAAUUAAAAAGAUACUAGAAAAAUAUACAUUUGACAAGUUGAUCCUGUUAACAAUUAGACUUUACAUCAUAAAGAAUACUGAAAGUUUUGUUAUAACACUUUUUCAAUAAGUCUCAACCAAUUAUCAAUUCCAAACAUAAAAUAAGCCAUUUUCUAAUGGUUAGCAAGAAAUUUUAAAAUCUAUAUUUCAUUUUUUUUUUCAAAUGUUGUCCAAUGUAUGUGGAUAAUAUAAAAAUGUUGAGUAUUUCACUCAUUUUCAAACUGAUAUUUUUAAGUUAAAAGCUUCAAUAACAAGUAAAAAAAAACUACAAAGAGAAAAAAAAUGGAAUGCUACUUGUUAAAAGUCAAACCUGCACAUCAGUACUCACAUGUAUGUUACUUUUAAUUCUAUGCACUUUGAUGGACAAUCUGAUUUGCAAACUCUAAAGCAUUUUAAAAAAUAUGAUGGUAAUUUUUUUUUUUUUUGGCGGCCAAAAUAUUUUUGUUAAAAUAAAAAAAAAAGAACCUUCAGAACACAUUGUUUUUUUCAGAACUGUGAAAAAAAUAAAAUUAUAAGUGAACUUUACUUCUUACUUAAUAUAGGAUCAAACUAGUACAUUAAAUAUAAAUGUCAUACUCAUGUCUAGUCUUAAACAGUUUUAGAGUGUUAUUAUAAACGAGAAUUUCCUGACUAUGUAGUAUAUGUACUGUCAAAAAAUGUAAACUUAGACUCUUUGGCCACAGCAAAAAGGUCAUCAGGGCUUGCAGAGACUUUCCAUCAGGGAAGAGUACCAGGAAAAAGAAGAAGAGAAAGACAGAGGAAGUAAUGAGAAGACAACAUCAAAGAAUGAACAGGCCUCUCUUUGAAUGAAAUUCUAUCCAAUGCAAAGAGAGAGUGAAAGACAGUUGACAGAUCUUGUGUGGUGCACCAAUGGUUCAAUGGACUAAGCUAGGUGAAAGUGAAGGUACUGUAAAUGUCUUUGCUGAUUAGUAAUCAGAUAUAUGGCCUUAUGCAGGGAUUGGCAAACAGUUUCACCUAAAAAAAUUUUCAAUUAGAAUUCUAUAUUUUAAAAAUUUCAGCCCAAGUAUUGGAAUCAAAAUAAUGGUGGCCAAAUCAUAUUUAUGCUUCUUUCUUUUUGGAACGAUGUUUUUUGUUAUUGUUUUAAUGACACAUACAAAGCUAAAUACAGUGGAAUCCAGAAAGUUCAAACUCACAGAAAUCAAAAUGUCAAAAAGCUUUUUUUAACAAUUAAGAGUAGAGAAAUUUAGUAGGCAUAAAUUUUAAGAUGCAAAAGUAUCACUUAAUCUUAAAUAUUUUUUGAAAAUAAAUCAUCACUUUCUUGAUCCAGAGUUGGCGAAUGUACAGCCUCUCUAUUUACUAAGUACAACAUGUGGGCUCUCU